GACAGAGGGGGCGGGGGUUGUCCGGAGUCACUGGGCGUAAAGCGCGCGCAGGCGGCAACCUUAGUGUCGUGUGAAAGCCCCCGGCUCAACCGGGGGAGGCCAUGGCAAACUGGGUCGCUCGAGCUGCGGAGAGGCUCCUCGAAUUGCCGGUGUAGCGGUGAAAUGCGUAGAGAUCGGCAGGAAGACCAAGGGGGAAGCCAGGGGGCGGGCCGCCGGUUGACGCUGAGGUGCGACAGCGUGGGGAGCAAACCGG
rnacentral:rRNA from 1 species